CCUACGGGAGGCUGCAGUGGGGAAUAUUGGGCAAUGGGCGCAAGCCUGACCCAGCAACGCCGCGUGAAGGAAGAAGGCUUUCGGGUUGUAAACUUCUUUUCUCAGGGACGAAGAAAGUGACGGUACCUGAGGAAUAAGCCACGGCUAACUACGUGCCAGCAGCCGCGGUAAUACGGAGGUCGCAAGUGUUAUUCGGAUUUAUUGGGUGUAAAGGGCGUGUAGGCGGGAGCGCAAGUCAGAUGUGAAAACUCAGGGCUCAACCCUGAGCCUGCAGUUGAAACUGUGUUGCUUGAGUGCAGGAGAGGCAAGCGGAAUUCCGUGUGUAGCGGUGAAAUGCGUAGAUAUACGGAGGAACACCAGUGGCGAAGGCGGAUUGCUGGACAGUAACUGACGCUGAGGCGCGAAAGCGUGGGGAGCAAACAGGAUUAGAUACCCGAGUAGUC
rnacentral:rRNA from 1 species